rnacentral:rRNA from 1 species
CCGCGGUAAUACGGAGGAUCCGAGCGUUAUCCGGAUUUAUUGGGCGUAAAGCGCACGUAGGCGGACAUUUAAGUCAGGGGUGAAAUCCCAGAGCUCAACUCUGGAACUGCCUUUGAUACUGGGUGUCUUGAGUGUGGAAGAGGUCAGUGGAAUUGCGAGUGUAGAGGUGAAAUUCGUAGAUAUUCGCAGGAACACCAGUGGCGAAGGCGGCUGACUGGUCCACAACUGACGCUGAGGUGCGAAAGCGUGGGGAGCAAACAGG